AAAGGCUCCAAAUAUUAUCAGAUGCAUGCGCGUUUAAAGCUCAGUUUCCUAUCAAUGUACAUUCAGCUCACUGUUGCGCUAUACUACUACUACUACUACUACUACUACUGAAAUUCCAUAAUUCUAUACGACAAAUUGUUUUUAUAUUCCUUAAUCGGAGGACGUUGGAGGAUUAGUGCAUCGGCCAAAAGAAGUAAGCAUAAGUGAAAACGUGCGAUUGCGAGCAUUCUCGUUUUGUGUCUUGCCACACUGGAUGCUGCUUACCGGUCGGUUGUGUGUAGAUCAAGGUCGAAAAUGUGCUUUGUCGGUCAAUAUGUCAUCAAUGUUGAAACAGUAGAGGACGUAUGGUGUGAAAGAGAUUAUUCAUUUUGACUUGUAAUAGGAAUCAAUGCAAUGAAUUGAUUUGUUCAGAGGUUUGAGUUUUGAUUAAAAUUUAAAAGUUAAGCAAUUUAUUUUCCUUUUAUGAUAUACAGCAAGGUUUUUAUAACAGGGUUUUCAAUUAGCCUUGUGCGUGAAAGCGUAGGGGCCCUCCUUAGCCGUGCGGUAAGCCGCGCGGCUACAAAGCAAGACCAUGCUGAGGGUGGCUGGGUUCGAUUCCCGGUGCCGGUCUAGACAAUUUUCGGAUUGGAAAUUAUCUCGACUUCCCUGGGCAUAAAAGUAUCAUCGUGCUAGCCUCAUGAUAUACGAAUGCAAAAAUGGUAACCUGGCUAAGGAACCUCGCAGUUAAAAACUGUGGAAGUGCUUAAUGAACACUAAGCUGCGAGGCGGCUCUGUCCCAGUGUGGGGAUGUAAUGCCAAGUAGAAGAAGAAGAAGAAG